rnacentral:snoRNA from 12 species
UGAUGACAUUCUCCGGAAUCGCUGUACUGCUUUUGAUGAAAAGUCUUUUCCACCUGAUGAUCGUGGACUUUUUAUU